UGGGGAAUUUUGCACAAUGGGCGAAAGCCUGAUGCAGCAACGCCGCGUGCGGGAAGAAGGCCCUCGGGUUGUAAACCGCUUUCAGAAGGAACGAAACUGACGGUACUUUCAGAAGAAGGUGCGGCCAACUACGUGCCAGCAGCCGCGGUGACACGUAGGCACCAAGCGUUGUCCGGAUUUAUUGGGCGUAAAGAGCUCGUAGGCGGUUCAGUAAGUCGGGUGUGAAAACUUUGGGCUUAACCCAAAGCGUGCAUCCGAUACUGCUGUGACUUGAGUACGGUAGGGGAGCGGGGAAUUCCUAGUGUAGCGGUGAAAUGCGCAGAUAUUAGGAGGAACACCGGUGGCGAAGGCGCCGCUCUGGGCCGAAACUGACGCUGAGGAGCGAAAGCAUGGGUAGCAAACNGGAUUAGAUACCCACGUAGUCCCUGAGCGGGCUGGCAAGGCGCAU
rnacentral:rRNA from 1 species